CGGCGCACGGGUGCGUAACGCGUAUGCAAUCUACCUUAAUCAGGGGGAUAGCCUCUCGAAAGAGAGAUUAAUACCGCAUAACAUUAUGAUAUGGCAUCAUAUUAUAAUCAAACAUUUAUGGGAUUAAGAUGAGCAUGCGUGACAUUAGCUAGUUGGUGAGGUAACGGCUCACCAAGGCGACGAUGUCUAGGGGAUCUGAGAGGAUGACCCCCCACACUGGUACUGAGACACGGACCAGACUCCUACGGGAGGCAGCAGUAAGGAAUAUUGGUCAAUGGGCGCAAGCCUGAACCAGCCAUGCCGCGUGCAGGAAGACUGCCCUAUGGGUUGUAAACUGCUUUUAUACGGGAAUAAACCUCGGUACGUGUACGAGCUGAAUGUACCGUAAGAAUAAGGAUCGGCUAACUCCGUGCCAGCAGCCGCGGUAAUACGGAGGAUCCAAGCGUUAUCCGGAUUUAUUGGGUUUAAAGGGUGCGUAGGCGGCUUUUUAAGUCAGGGGUGAAAGACGGUGGCUCAACCAUCGCAGUGCCCUUGAUACUGAAGAGCUUGAAUACACUAGAGGUAGGCGGAAUGAGACAAGUAGCGGUGAAAUGCAUAGAUAUGUCUCAGAACACCAAUUGCGAAGGCAGCUUACUAUGGUGUUAUUGACGCUGAGGCACGAAAGCGUGGGGAUCAAACAGGAUUAGAUACCCUGGUAGUCCACGCCCUAAACGAUGAAUACUCGAUGUUAGCGAUAAACAGUUAGCGUCUAAGCGAAAGCGUUAAGUAUUCCACCUGGGGAGUACGCCCGCAAGGGUGAAA
rnacentral:rRNA from 1 species